UACGAAGGGGGCUAGCGUUGCUCGGAAUCACUGGGCGUAAAGCGCACGUAGGCGGAUUGUUAAGUCAGGGGUGAAAUCCUGGAGCUCAACUCCGAAACUGCAUUCGAUACUGCCGUGCUUGAGGACUGGAGAGGAGACUGGAAUUUACGGUGUAGCGGUGAAAUGCGUAGAUAUCGUAAGGAAGACCAGUGGCGAAGGCGGGUCUCUGGACAGUUCCUGACGCUGAGGCACGAAGGUCAGGGGAGCAAACGGG
rnacentral:rRNA from 1 species